UCUCUGGUGGUCCAGUGGCUAAGACUCCGCACUCACAAUGCAGGAGGCCCAGGUUCAAUCCCUGGUCAGGGAA